rnacentral:misc_RNA from 1 species
AAUAUCCAUGAGUCUCCAACGACACCCACAAGCUCACCAUCAAUACUAUUGUACUUAAAUCCCUCCAAGACAGUUACAGAGCUAUCUUCAGCAGAAAGGAGCUGAAGAUGGAGGGGAUGAGCCAGCAUAAGCAAGUCACCCCAUCCCUUCUUUUCCCACUUGUACUCCAAGCAAAAUGGCUGCUUGAAAACAGCAUUACCACUUGUAGGAUAACAAGAACUGAAACGAUCAAGAACUGCUUCACUAGUUUGAUCAGAACUUGGCAAACAAGCAAUCCUAAUAAUACCUUUUGAUUUUCUUCAUCGAAACUUAAGCGCGUUAAUCUUAUUUGUUCGAAUAGCCGCCAG